AACGAACGCUGGCGGCGUGCCUAACACAUGCAAGUCGAACGGGAAAACCCGCAAGGGUGAGUACAGUGGCGCACGGGUGCGUAACACGUGGGUAAUCUGCCCAGAAGCCCGGAAUAACUCCCCGAAAGGGGUGCUAAUGCCGGAUGAGAACACGGGGACUUCGGGUCCUGGGGGAAAAGGGGGUCUCCGUAUACAAGCUAUCACUUCUGGCUGAGCCCGCGGCCCAUCAGCUAGUUGGCGGGGUAAUGGCCCACCAAGGCUACGACGGGUAGCUGGUCGGGGAGGACGAUCAGCCACACUGGAACUGAGACACGGUCCAGACUCCUACGGGAGGCAGCAGUGGGGAAUCUUGCGCAAUGGGCGAAAGCCUGACGCAGCAACGCCGCGUGUGUGAUGAAGGUCUUCGGAUCGUAAAGCACUGUCGGGAGGGACGAAUAAGGGCCGGGUGAACAAUCCGGUUCGACGACGGUACCUCCAGAGGAAGCACCGGCUAACUCUGUGCCAGCCGCCGCCGUAACAC
rnacentral:rRNA from 1 species